rnacentral:tRNA from 1 species
GGUUGUGGCUCAGCGGUAGAGUGCUCACCUAGCAUGCUCGAGGUGCUGGGUUUGAUCCUCAACACCA